CCCUUAGAUGUUCUGGGCCGCACGCGCGCUACACUGAUGCAUUCAACGAGUCUAAAACCUGGUCUGAGAGGGCUGGGUAAUCUUUUGAAAGUGCAUCGUGAUUGGGAUAGGUGAUUGCAAUUCUUCAUCUUCAACGAGGAAUGCCUAGUAAACGCAAGUCAUCAGCUUGCAUUGAUUACGUCCCUGCCCUUUGUACACACCGCCCGUCGCUCCUACCGAUUGAACGAUCCGAUGAAAACUGUGGAUUGAGAGUCUGAGUGGGUUCGCCUACCUCAACUUUCGAGAAGCGGUUUAAAUCUUAUCGUUUAGAGGAAGGAGAAGUCGUAACA
rnacentral:rRNA from 1 species